rnacentral:rRNA from 1 species
AUUGAACGCUGGCGGCAGGCUUAACACAUGCAAGUCGAGCGAGCGGCGGACGUGUGAGUAAUGUCUGGGAAACUGCCUGAGGGAGGGGGAUAUCUACGGGAAACGAUAGCUAACAGCGCAUACCAUCAGAUGUGCCCAGAGGGGAUUAGCUAGUAGGUUGGGUAAGUGCUCACCUAGGCGACGAUCCCUAGCUGGUCUGAGAGGAUGACCAGCCACACUGGAACGGAGACACGGUCCAGACUCCUACGGGAGGCAGCAUUGGGGAAUAUUGCACAAUGGGCGCAAGCCUGAUGCAGCCAUGCCGCGUGUAUGAAGAAGGCCUUCGGGUUGUAAAGUACUUUCAGCGGGGAGGCGUUACCCGCAGAAGAAGCACCGGCUAACUCCGUGCCAGCAGCCGCGGUAAUAC